UACGUAGGGGGCUAGCGUUGUCCGGAUUUAUUGGGCGUAAAGAGCGUGUAGGCGGCCAGGUAGGUCUGCUGUGAAAACUCGAGGCUCAACCUCGAGACGUCGGCGGAAACCAUCUGGCUAGAGUCCGGAAGAGGAGAGUGGAAGUUACCUGGUGUGAGCGGUGAAAUGCGCAGAUAUCAGGAAGAACACCCGUGGCGAAGGCGGCUCUCGUGGACGGUACUGACGCUGAGACGCGAAAGCGUGGGGAGCGAACAGG
rnacentral:rRNA from 1 species